GAUGAACGCUGGCGGCGUGCCUAAUACAUGCAAGUCGAGCGAACGGACGAGAAGCUUGCUUCUCUGAUGUUAGCGGCGGACGGGUGAGUAACACGUGGAUAACCUACCUAUAAGACUGGGAUAACUUCGGGAAACCGGAGCUAAUACCGGAUAAUAUUUUGAACCGCAUGGUUCAAAAGUGAAAGACGGUCUUGCUGUCACUUAUAGAUGGAUCCGCGCCGCAUUAGCUAGUUGGUAAGGUAACGGCUUACCAAGGCAACGAUGCAUAGCCGACCUGAGAGGGUGAUCGGCCACACUGGAGCUGAGACACGGUCCAGACUCCUACGGGAGGCAGCAGUAGGGAAUCUUCCGCAAUGGGCGAAAGCCUGACGGAGCAACGCCGCGUGAGUGAUGAAGGUCUUCGGAUCGUAAAACUCUGUUAUUAGGGAAGAACAUAUGUGUAAGUAACUGUGCACAUCUUGACGGUACCUAAUCAGAAAGCCACGGCUAACUACGUG
rnacentral:rRNA from 1 species